UUGGAGGGCAAGUCUGGUGCCAGCAGCCGCGGUAAUUCCAGCUCCAAUAGCGUAUAUUAAAGUUGUUGCAGUUAAAAAGCUCGUAGUUGAAUUUCGGGGUUAGUAGGUUGGUCAUGCCUCUGGUAUGUACUGRUCUCACUGAUUCCUCCUUCCUKAUGAACCGUAAUGCCAUUAAUUUGGUGUUGCGGGGAAUUUGGACUGUUACUUUGAAAAAAUUAGAGUGUUUAAAGCARGCUAACGCUUGAAUACAUUAGCAUGGAAUAAUGAAAUAGGACGUUCGAUCYUAUUUUGUUGGUUUCUAGGAUUGACGUAAUGAUUAAUAGGGAUAGUUGGGGGCAUUAGUAUUCAAUUGUCAGAGGUGAAAUUCUUGGAUUUAUUGAAGACUAACUACUGCGAAAGCAUUUGCCAAGGAUGUUUUCAUUAAUCAAGAACGAAAGUUAGGGGAUCGAAGACGAUCAGAUACCGUCGUAGUCUUAACCAUAAACUAUGCCGACUAGGGAUCGGAUGAUGUUAAUUUUUUAAUGACUCAUUCGGCGCCUUACGGGAAACC
rnacentral:rRNA from 1 species